rnacentral:rRNA from 1 species
CAGCAGCCACGGUAAUACGUAGGGUGCGAGCGUUAAUCGGAAUUACUGGGCGUAAAGCGUGCGCAGGCGGUUGUGUAAGACAGGUGUGAAAUCCCCGGGCUUAACCUGGGAACUGCGCUUGUGACUGCACAGCUAGAGUAUGGCAGAGGGGGGGUGGAAUUCCACGUGUAGCAGUGAGAUGCGUAGAGAUGUGGAGGAACACCGAUGGCGAAGGCAACCCCCUGGGCCAAUACUGACGCUCAUGCACGAAAGCGUGGGGAGCAAACAGGAUUAGAUACCCCCGUAGUCCCUGUCUCUUAUU